CGCCUCGCUGGCCUGCGGGGGUAGCGAGCGGGCAGCGGCGGCGGUGCCCCCUGCCUUCUCCUCGUCUUCUGGUGCAGUCGGCUUCUCUUGCACUGUGUUUGACCCCUGCGCCGAGGAGGCGGAAGAGCCCGGAUUUCGCUUUUAGCUGAGUCGGCCGUGGGUUCACACAUCCAUGUGCUUUUUUGCAUUCGUUAGUGCUUGCACUUGCUUGGAUGGCCGCUCUCGGCACUCUCGCCAAGCUCGGGUAAUGUGUUAGGAAGGCAAGACCGGCAAAAGAAUGCGGUCCGGGAUCGUUUCGGCAGAAUAUUCUUAUUCCGGCAGUUACAUGUUCAGAACUGUGUUCCUGAUACAUACGGAUAAGGAACUUCAUGAUUUUUGUGGUUGUUGCCUGUCAAAUCCCAAGCACGUAAUCCCGUGGACGAAAGAACCGCACUUAAGACAGUCUCUAUCACCUGGAGCAACAGAGGAAGAAGGAGAGUCAGGAAUAACCCAUUGCUGUCGAAUCGACUCCAUCUUACAGCGACACUAUAGGGCAGAAGAGAACUGCCCCAUUGGAUUUCCAAGACUGUAAUCUUUAUCGAAGCAGACUGUCAUAUUUUUCUCCCAUGAAGUGGCUGGUAGGUUUGAACCACAGACCUUUUGGUUAGCAGCUGAGUGCUUAACUACUGCACUACCAUGGUUCCUUUCAAGUCAGGAAUAGGAGGAGGAAAUGGAUGUGUGGCCUAUUGCCUCCAAGAACAACUGACUCCUUUGCCAUGAGACCAGAAGAACUGGAUGGUGGCUAGCUACCAUUACUGAACAUUUUGAUCAAAGGUUCUAUGGAUGAGGCAGAGCCAAGAUGGCAGAAUAGACACACGCUUCCAGCAAGCCCUCUUUACAACAAAGACCAGAAAAAACAAGUGAAACGAGUAUAUUUGUGACAAGCUGGUAGCCCUGAACUUCAAAGGCAAGCUUAUAAAACGAACUGAGGGGCAAGGGGAGGAGGAGACCGUUGAGAAGCAGAGAGGAGUUACCUGACCUGAAUCACGGGGAGCCUUCAGGCACCAUUCCCAGAGUGGCGGCGGUGGUGGGCUGGUACCAGCGUUCGGCCGCAGUUUCCUUAGGGAGAAGCAGUCAGCCACAUAGCCUACUCAGACCUCCAGAACCUGAGAAAAAUGGCGCUCUUGGCAAAGCUAAGUACUUGUGUGUAUUUUACUGUACUCCCCCACCCCCAAGCCGGCUUCAACAGUUGAAUUCCCUGUGCCUGCGGUAGGCACUGUUGAGUGCCUAGAGCCAUCCUCCUGGUCUUGGAGAAGGAAAAAAUUGGCAAUUGAUGGAAAAGAUAAUUUGCUAGCUCCACUAACCGGGGGAGCUCAGGGCAGAAGCGGCUCCUGUCCAGGCAUAAACAGUCCAUGGACUUUGAACACCUUUCCCUUCUGCAUGGACCUGUGUGGGCCUAUUUCGGGAGAAUAGGCCCUUGUUAGCAGACUCCAACAGUUUCAGCUGUGCGGUGGAGAGGUGGGUGUUUGAUGUUUGACAUUGCUUCGCCUAUUAAACAAGGACCUCACCUACCCACAUCAGGGACCUAAGGACUGGUAGCUCCGCUCAGGUCACCCAAACACCCACGACAGGGGUCCAAGGAUAACUGGUACCUCCCAGUCCUUACAACCAAAAGCUUUGGGUGCCCAUGGUCCGUCUGCAGAGCUCACCCACAUGCAUGCUCUAGGGAACAGGGGUGCGCUUUCCUCAGAGACACUCAGAGGUUGGUUCUCAGCCCCCUGCCUUGUUCAGAGCAUGACCCCUCUGCAAUCAGAUGCUGGUAUAUAUGCCAAUUACCUCUGCCCCUCUAAGACUGUAGGACAGAGCCUGUACCACACACUUGAUAAUCAUCUACCUGGAAACCUGAGCUGAAUUCAUACAAGAAAAGUGAAUGGACUCCUAGACUGAUAUACUUGAAAACAGCUCUAGCCAUCUGGGGACAGGGCAUCAGAGCUCCAAAGGUGAAAAUAAGCAAGCAAGCACACUCAAGGAACCCAUUUGGGUAUAUCAAAACAAAACAAAGCAAGAAGCUACGCCACAGCAAGCAAGCAUAAACUAAUACAAUAACUUACAGAUGGCUCAGAGACAACAGUCAAUAUCAAGUCACAUAAAGAAACAGACCAUGAUCACCUCAACAAGCUUUCAAAACAGAACCCAGGGAUCUUUUAGAUGAAAGUGCAUCCCUGGAAUUACCAGAGGCAGAAUGCAAAAGUUUAAUAUUCAGAACCCUUCAAGACAUCAGGAAGGAAAUGAGGCAAUAUGCAGAACAAGCCAAGGAACACACAGAUAAAGCAAUUGAAGAAAUUAGAAAGAUUAUUUGGGAACAUAAUUAAAAGUUUAAUAAGCUGGAAAAAUCCGUAGACAGACAGCAAUCAGAAAUUCAGAAGAUUAACAAUAAAAUUACAGAAGUAGACAACUCAAUAGAAAGUCAGAGGAGCAGAAUUGAGCAAGUAGAAGUCAGAAUUUCUGAACUCGAAAAUAAAUCACUUGGCACUAAUAUAUUUGAAGAAAAAUCAGGGAAAAGAAUUUUAGAAAAUGAAGAAACCUUAAGAAUCAUACGGGACUCUACCAAGAGAAAUAACCUACAAGUGAUUGGAGUACCAGAAUAGGGAGGGAUAACAGAAAAUACAGAGAGAAUUGUUGAAGGUUUGAUGGCAGAAAACUUCCCUCAUAUCGUGAAAGAUGAGAAGAUAUCUAUCCAAGAUGCUCAUUGAACUCCACAUACGGUAGAUCUCAAAAGAAAGUCACCAAGACAUAUUAUAAUCAAACUUGCCAAAACCAAAGAUAAAGAGAGAAUUAUAAGAACAGCUAGGGAUAAAUGAAAAGUCACCUACAAGGGAGAGCCAAUAAGAAUAAGCUCGGACUAUUUGGCAGAAACCAUGUAGGCAAGAAGGCAAUGGGAUGAUAUAUUUAAAAAAUUGAAGGAAAAAAAAUUGUGAGCCAAGAAUCAUAUGUCCAGCAAAACUGUCUCUUAAAUAUGAAGGUGAAAUUAAGACAUUUCCAGAUAAACACAAGUUUAGGGAAUUCAUAAAAACCAAACCAAAACUGCAAGAAAUACUAAAGGGAGUUCUUUGGUUAGAAAAUCAAUAAUAUUAGCUAUUAACCCAAGACUAUAACACUGGGCGGAGCAACCAGAAGUCAACCCAGACAGGGAAAUCCAAAAAAACAAAGCAAGAUUAUUAAAAGAAAAAAAAAAAAACCCAAAAUAGGGUAACAGCAAUGUUAUUAUAUAAAAGAAGACAACAUUAAAAUAAUAAAGAGGGACUAAGAAAUGUAAUCAUACACCUUCCAUGUGGAAAGGAAGAUAGAGGCGAUACAAACAGAUAAAAGUAAGGUUUAAAUUUAGAAAAAUAGGGUAAACAAUAAGGUAACCACAAAAGAAACAAACUAUCCUACUCAUCAAAAUAAAAUACAAAAAAAAAAAAAAAAAUAGAGACAGCAGAAACAAAAUCAACAGCAACAAAUAUGAGGAAAGGACGUAUAUAAAGAUAAUCUCAGUACAUAAAAUUAAGUGGGAAAAAGAAACUGUCAACAACACACAAAAAAAGACAUCGAAAUGAUAGCACUAAAUACCUAUCCAUAAUUACCCUGAAUCGAAAUGGACUCAAUGCACCAAUAAAGAGACAGAGAGUGGCAGAAUGGAUUAAAAAACAUGAUCUGUCUAUAUGCCGCCUACAAGAGACACACUUUAGACUUAGAGACACAAACAAACUAAAACUCCAAGGAUGGAAAAAAAUAUAUCAAGCAAACAACAAUCAAAAAGAGCAGGAGUGGCAAUGUUAAUUUCUGACAAAAUAGACUUUAAAGUUAAAUCCAUCAGAAAGGAUAAGGAAGGACACUAUAUAAUGAUUAAAGGGACAAUACACCAAGAAGAUAUAACCAUAUUAAAUAUUUACGCACCCAGUGACAGGGCUGCAAGAUACAUAAAACAAACUCAGCAUUGAAAAGUGAGAUAGACAGCUCCGCAAUUAUAGUAGGAGACUUCAACACACCACUUUCCAUGAAGGACAGGACAUCCAGAAAGAAGCUCAAUAAAGACAUGGAAGAUCUAAAUGCCACAAUCAACCAACUCGACCUCGUAGAUAUAUGCAGAACACUCCACCCAACAGCAACUAAGUAUACAUUCUUUUCUAGUGCACAUGGAACAUUCUCUAAAAUAGACCACAUAUUAGGUCAUAAAGCAAGCCUUAGCAGAAUCCAAAACACUGAAAUAUUACAAAGCAUCUUCUCUGACCAUAAGGCCAUAAAAGUGGAAAUCAAUAACAGGAAAAGCAGGGAAAAGAAAUCAAACACUUUGAAACUGAACAAUACCCUGCUCAAAAACGACUGGGUCAUAGAAGACAUUAAGGAUGGAAUAAAGAAAUUCAUAGAAUCCAAUGAGAAUGAAAGCACUUCCUAUCAAAACCUUUGGGACACAGCAAAAGCGGUGCUCAGAGGUCAAUUUAUAUCAAUAAAUGCACACAUCCAAAAAGAAGACAGGGCCAAAAUCAAAGAAUUAUCCCUACAACUUGGACAAAUAGAGAGCAACAAAAGAAAACCACAGGCACCAGAAGAAAACAAAUAAUAAAAAUUAGAGCAGAACUAAAUGGAAUAAAAAAAACAGAAAAACAAUUGAAAGAAUUAACAAGACCAAAAGCUGGUUCUUUGAAAAAAAUCAACAAAAUUGAUAAACCACUGGCCAAACUGACAAAAGAAAAACAGAAGAGGAAGCAAAUAAACUGAAUAAAUAAGAUGGGUGAUAUUACAGCAGACCCAACUGAAAUUAAAAGAAUCAUAUCAGAUUACUAUGAAAAAUUGUACUCUGACAAAUUUGAAAACCUAGAAGAAAUGGAUGAAUUCCUAGAAAUGCACUACCUACCUAAACUACCACAAACAGGUGGAGCAACUAAAUAGACCCAUAACAAAAGAAGAGAUUGAAAAGGUAAUCAAAAAAUUCCCAACAACAAAAAAAAAAGCCCUGGCCCACGUGGCUUCACUGCAGAGUUCUACCAAACUUUCAGAGAAGAGUUAACACCACUACUACUAAAGGUAUUUCAGAGCAUAGAAAAGGAUGGAAUACUCCCAAACUCAUUCUAUGAAGCCACCAUAUCUGUGAUACCAAAACCCAGCAAAAUAAGAAUAGAAGGAAAAUUCCUCAACAUAAUAAAGGGCAUUUAUACAAAGCCAACAGCCAACAUCAUCCUAAAUGGAGAGAGUCUGAAAGCAUUCCCCUGAGAUCGGGAACCAGACAAGGGUGCCCUUUAUCACCGCUCUUAUUCAACAUUGUGUUGGAGGUCCUGGCCAGAGCAAUUAGGCUAGAUAAAGAAAUAAAGGACAUCCAGAUUGACAAGUAAAAUUAUCUCUAUUUGCAGAUGACAUGAUCUUAUAUGCAGAAAAGCCUAAGGAAUCCUCAAGAAAAAUACUGAAGCUAAUAGAAGAGUUCAGCAGAGUAUCGGGAUACAAGAUUAACAUACAAAAAUCAGUUGGAUACCUCUACAGCAACAGAAAGAACAUCGAAAAGGAAAUCACCAAAUCAAUGCCAUUACAGUAGCCCCCAAGAAGAUACAGUAGCCCCCAAGAAGAUAAAAUACUUAGGAAUAAAUCUUACCAGAGAUGUAAAAGACUUAUACAAAGAAAACUAGAAUAAAGUUCUGCAACAAACCAAAAGAGACUUACAUAAGUGGAAGAACAUACCUUGCUCAUGGAUAGGAAGACUUAACAUUAUAAAACGUCUAUUCUACCGAAAGGCAUCUAUACAUUUAGUGCAAUUCCGAUCCAAAUCCCUAUGACAUUCUUUAAUGAGGUGGAGAAACUAAUCACCAACUUCAUAUGGAAGGGAAAGAGGCCCUGGGUAAGUAAGGCAUUACUGAAAAAGAAAACAAAGUGGGAGGCCUUACUUUAACUGAUCUUAGAACCGGUUAUACUGUCACAGUAGUCAAUGGAACAGAAUUGAGAAUCCAGACAUAAAUCCAUCCACAUAUGAGCAGUUGAUAUUUGACAAAGGCUGCAAAGCAGUUAAAUGGGGGAAAAGACAGUCUUUUUAACAAACAGUGCUGGCAUAACUGGAUAUCCAUCUGCAAAAAAAAAAAAAACAAGAACCAUACCUCACACC